rnacentral:rRNA from 1 species
CCAGACUCCUACGGGAGGCAGCAGUGAGGAAUAUUGGUCAAUGGGCUUACGCCUGAACCAGCCAAGUCGCGUGAGGGAAGACUGCCCUAUGGGUUGUAAACCUCUUUUGUCAGGGAACAAAGGCGGGGACGUGUCCCCGGAUGAGUGUACCUGAAGAAAAAGCAUCGGCUAACUCCGUGCCAGCAGCCGCGGUAAUACGGAGGAUGCGAGCGUUAUCCGGAUUUAUUGGGUUUAAAGGGUGCGCAGGCGGCACGGCAAGCCGGCGGUCAAAUCGCGGGGCUCAACCCCGCCCAGCCGUCGGAACUGCCGGGCUAGAGUGGGCGAGAAGUGCGCGGAAUGCGUGGUGUAGCGGUGAAAUGCAUAGAUAUCGCGCAGAACUCCGAUUGCGAAGGCAGCAUGCCGGCUCCACACUGACGCUGAGGCACGAAAGCGUGGGUAUCGAACAGGAUUAGAUACCCGAGUA